rnacentral:lncRNA from 1 species
GGGCCAUCUCUCCAGAUCAGGGUUAGGGAUACACCUUUGCCCACACAGGACUGGUGAACUGUGUGCUUCUAAUGCAGCUAAGAGAAAAAGGUGAUUCUUUUUUUUUUCGGGCGCCAGUCUUCAGUGCCCCUUCGAUCCGAAUUCAGUUCCCUGGGAAGCAACACCUGGGCUGUAGUGAACUCUGCAGCAGCAAACAGACUCGCUCAGCGGCGCUCAUCACUAAGGGCCAGUUUAGUUUUCACACUAGUUGAAAUUCGUGGCUGCAGCUGGGUUUGGGUGAGAGGGGAGAGUAGGUUGGAGCUCCACUACACCCCACUUCUUUGGAUCCCUGGCCACGGUUCACUUCUUCUAGCCAACAGGAUCGCAACCUCCUAACUUUGAAACGCCACACAACCUUACCUUAAACACACAAGAUCAGUCGCUUCGCAAUUUUUCUUUCUGCCUCUUUUUCCAUCUCUGUUCUGUAUCACUGCAACACAGGUGUUGAAGAUUGGAUUAUUGCAGGAGGGGAAAAAAUAAUAACAGUUGUAAUCGCAGCAUCACUGCAGUUCUUCCUCGGAGCCAGCCUUUUGUUAUGGAUGCUCACUGUAGUGGGAGAAGGCUCUGUCUCUACCAGUCCAUUAGCUCCUGUGCAUAAAGCCUGAUAGAAUCACCUCCCUAUCCCCGACAGGUGGACAGUCAAGAAAAUGUUUGUGAAUGGACUACCAUGCUAACUUUCCAGGAAUAACACUGGACAGCAUUACACUGAAAACACGUGCUUCCUGUUCCUCAGGGAGUUCUUGGUUUUUAGUGUUAAAACUUGUGGUUAGGCACUAUUUAAGGAUAUUUUAGGGGCUGGG